GUGCCACUGCACUCCAGCCUGGGUGACAGUGACACUUCAUCUCAAAAACAACAACAACAACAACAAAAAACCCAAAUAGGGUUGGUGCAGACCCACUCUCACAACACUCCUCAGGCCCGCUAUAGAGUCAAGGCAGACAGGCUCUGCCACACUGGCCGCCACACCCAUUCCUGCCACCUGACCUUUGCUUCUGCUAUUGCCUCUGCCUGGGGUGACCUUCCCCAGGCUGCUGAAACGUCACCUCCUUUGGCCAGGCCCUUUUAAUGGCCACCCUCUGCCUCAUGGGUGUUUGUUUCCAUCAUAGGAUGCAGCCAGUCUUUAAUUACCUUGUUUAUUACCUGUGUCCCUCGCUAGACUGGAACACUCAAAGUGGGUGUGGACUUUGUCCAGGGCCAAGCACAAGGCCAGGCACAUGAGAGGGACUCGGUAAAUAUUUGCUGAAUAAAUACACAAGAAAAAUGCACACACUACCCAGGGAGGCAUGCAGGGAAGGCAGAACACUCGCCCCACCCCACAGGUAAGGGAAGGAGUGGCUGCGGGACAGGGAGCUGCCUGACUCCCAGGCCCUCCCAGGCUGCAAUGGCCUGGGCCUGUGACCAUAUAUCUUGAUUUCUCCUACAUCCUCAUCUCCAAACUCUGUUGGAGAGAGGUCAGAGGAAGGGGUGGAUCCUCAAAAUCUUAAAAGAAGAUACAUCAAAGUGCCAGACCCCGUACUUGACGGAUCAGCUGACACUACCCAGACCAGUAAUCUGGCUCAACCAGUCCUGCGAUCCCACCCAGGAACAGAAGACAGCAAGAAAACCUCACUUCAACACUCCCGUCGAUGACUCCAUCGACCUCAGGAAGCUCCAACCAAUCAGCACUCCCCACUUCCUGAGCCCCUACCCGCCAAAUUAUCUUUCAAAACUCGGAUCCCCUAAUGCUCAGCGGAGACUGAUUUGAGCAAUAAUAAAACUCUGGUCUCCUGCA
rnacentral:lncRNA from 1 species